rfam:Prunus persica cultivar Lovell chromosome G2, whole genome shotgun sequence.
GGAUAGCAAUAUUUUGCUAUCCCCAAUCAAUAACACAAUGACCUGUGAAACGACUAUCAUACGUGUCAUUGCGUUAUUGGUUGGGAAUAGCAAAAAGUGUUAUCC